UACGGGGGGGGCAAGCGUUGUUCGGAAUUACUGGGCGUAAAGGGCUCGUAGGCGGCCAACUAAGUCAGACGUGAAAUCCCUCGGCUUAACCGGGGAACUGCAUCUGAUACUGGAUGGCUUGAGUUCGGGAGAGGGAGUGCGGAAUUCCAGGUGUAGCGGUGAAAUGCGUAGAUAUCAAGAGGAACACCUGCGGCGAAGGCGGGUUGCUGGGCUGACACUGACGCUGAGGCGCGAAAGCUAGGGGAGCAAACGGG
rnacentral:rRNA from 1 species